UACGGGAGGCAGCAGUGGGGAAUAUUGCACAAUGGGCGCAAGCCUGAUGCAGCCAUGCCGCGUGUAUGAAGAAGGCCUUCGGGUUGUAAAGUACUUUCAGUCGUGAGGAAGGUGUUAAGGUUAAUAACCUUAGCAAUUGACGUUAGCGACAGAAGAAGCACCGGCUAACUCCGUGCCAGCAGCCGCGGUAAUACGGAGGGUGCGAGCGUUAAUCGGAAUUACUGGGCGUAAAGGGCACGCAGGCGGUUAAUUAAGUUGGAUGUGAAAUCCCCGGGCUUAACCUGGGAAUGGCAUUCAAGACUGGUUAGCUAGAGUCUUGUAGGAGGGGGUAGAAUUCCAUGUGUAGCGGUGAAAUGCGUAGAGAUGUGGAGGAAUACCGGUGGCGAAGGCGGCCCCUGGACAAAGACUGACGCUCAUGUGCGAAAGCGUGGGGAGCAAACGAGGAUUAGAUACC
rnacentral:rRNA from 1 species